CAUCCAUCUCUUCAUCUGGUGUUCAUCGAUAGCCUUUGUAAUGUCCUUAAUAGUAAACCGGAAAACAUGUACACCUAACAGCAUGGUAAGGAAGCCCCGGAAGGAUGUUUCUAAAGACCAUGAGGGAGUCUGAAACCUGAAAUCAUGCCAAGGACUCUCUGCUUCUCUUUCACUUGGGGUGUCUAUCUGAUGCUGCCACAACCAGUUGAAAUGUAUAACAUAAACAAUAAAAAUUAGUUUUUUUGUAACUAA